rnacentral:rRNA from 1 species
GAUGAACGCUAGCGGCAGGCUUAAUACAUGCAAGUCGAGGGGCAGCAGCUUUAUAGCAAUAUAGAGGCUGGCGACCGGCAAACGGGUGCGGAACACGUACACAACCUUCCUUUAAGAGGGGGAUAGCCCAUAGAAAUGUGGAUUAAUACCCCGUAACGUAUCGGUGUGGCAUCACACUGUUAUUAUAGUUUCGACGCUUGAAGAUGGGUGUGCGGCUGAUUAGGUAGUUGGCGGGGUAAAGGCCCACCAAGCCUUCGAUCAGUAGCUGAUGUGAGAGCAUGAUCAGCCACACGGGCACUGAGACACGGGCCCGACUCCUACGGGAGGCAGCAGUAAGGAAUAUUGGUCAAUGGACGCAAGUCUGAACCAGCCAUGCCGCGUGAAGGAUGAAGGUCCUCUGGAUUGUAAACUUCUUUUAUAGGGGGCGAAAAAAGGGAAUUCUUUCUCACUUGACAGUACCCUAUGAAUAAGCACCGGCUAACUCCGUGCCAGCCGCCGCCGUAA